rnacentral:rRNA from 1 species
UCCUACGGGGCGCAGCAGUCGGGAAUAUUGCGCAAUGGAGGCAACUCUGACGCAGUGACGCCGCGUAUAGGAAGAAGGUUUUCGGAUUGUAAACUAUUGUCCUCAGGGAAGAAAAAAGACUGUACCUGCAGAGGAAGCCACGGCUAACUACGUGCCAGCAGCCGCGGUAAUACGUAGGUGGCAAGCGUUGUUCGGAAUAACUGGGCGUAAAGGAUGCGUAGGCGGUUAAACAAGUUAUAUGUUAAAUAUAUAGGCUUAACCUGUAGAAAGCAUAUAAAACUGUUUAAAUAGAGUGCAG